CCCCCCACUUCCCCGAUCCCAUCCCCAACUCCUGAUCUGGAUCGGGCCGAACCCGGCGCCCCAACGCCAACCGCCGUCGCCGGAGGCGUCCCCGACUCCAUGCCGGGCCGCCCCAUCACCGAACCUCCUCCCCGUCGUCACCUCGUCACCAUUCUCCUCGCCCUCCUCCCGAAGCCCCCUCGCCGCGACGCCUUGGAUGCCACCGUCUCGUCCCGAUCUGGCGCCGCCCCGCCCCGACGCUGCACCGUCGCCCGUCGCCGGACCGCCUCGUCCUCGUCUCCCCCCAAGCCGGUUCCAUCGAGCCUCGCCGACGAACACCGGCAGCGUGGAUGACGGAUCCCAGGAGCCAGACGAUGCCACUGAUGACUACUACUACCCGGAGGAUGCCUACUACUAUGUGAAGACCGCAGACGACUAGGAGUAGCUAGGAGGCUCCCAGGCAGGAGGCCUUGCCUUUUCGAUCGUUGUUGCUUUUGUGCUUGCCUUCUUAAGGCAAUCUUGUCUAACUUAUGUCUAUACUCAGAUAUUGUUGCUUCCGCUGACUCUUGUGUAUUCGAUCUUAUGUAUUCGAGCCCUUGAGGCCCCUGGCUUGUAAUAUAAAGCUUG
rnacentral:rRNA from 1 species